UUAGAGAGGAAGUUGCAUGCAACAAAAUAUGGAUCUCAAUACACGAGACAACCGAUACUGUGGGGAGUUAUUUAAGGAGGAACUGCAGA